rnacentral:rRNA from 1 species
UACGUAGGGGCCAAGCGUUGUUCGGAUUUACUGGGCGUAAAGGGCGCGUAGGCGGCAAUUCAAGUCAUCUGUGAAAUCUCCGAGCUUAACUCGGAACGGUCAGAUGAUACUGCUUUGCUAGAGUGCAGGAGGGGCAACCGGAAUUCUUGGUGUAGCGGUGAAAUGCGUAGAUAUCAAGAGGAACACCGGAGGUGAAGACGGGUUGCUGGGCUGACACUGACGCUGAGGCGCGAAAGCUAGGGUAGCAAACGGG